rnacentral:rRNA from 1 species
AUACGUAGGGUGCGAGCGUUGUCCGGAAUUACUGGGCGUAAAGAGCUCGUAGGUGGUUUGUCGCGUCGUCUGUGAAAUUCCGGGGCUUAACUGCGGGCGUGCAGGCGAUCCGGGCAUAACUUACGUACUGUAGGGGAGACUGGAAUUCCUGGUGCAGCGGUGAACUGCGCAGAUAUCAGGAGGAACACCGGGGGUGAAGGCGGGCCUCUGGGCAGUAACUGACGCUGAGGAGCGAAAUCAUGGGUAGCGGACAGGAUUAGACACCCUGGUAGUCCAUGCCGAAAACGGUGGGGGCUAGGUGUAGGCGUCUUCCCCGACUUCUGUGCCUUAGCUAACGCAUUAAGCGCCCCGCCUGGGGAGUACGGCCGCAAGGCUAAAACUCAAAGGAAUUGACGGGG